AACGAACGCUGGCGGCAUGCCUAACACAUGCAAGUCGAACGAGACCUUCGGGUCUAGUUGCGCACGGGUUCGUAACGCGUGGGAACCUGCCCUUAGGUUCGGCAUAACUCCCCGAAAGGGGUGCUAAUACCGGAUAAUGUCUUCGGCCCAAAGAUUUAUCGCCUUUGGAUGGGCCCGCGUUGGAUUAGCUAGUUGGUAGGGUAAAAGCCUACCAAGGCGACGAUCCAUAGCUGGUCUGAGAGGAUGAUCAGCCACACUGGGACUGAGACACGGCCCAGACUCCUACGGGAGGCAGGAGUGGGGAAUAUUGGACAAUGGGCGAAAGGCUGAUCCAGCAAUGCCGCGUGAGUGAUGAAGGCCUUAGGGUUGUAAAGCGCUUUUACCCGGGAUGAUAAUGACAGUACCGGGAGAAUAAGCUCCGGCUAACUACGUG
rnacentral:rRNA from 1 species